CCUACGGGUGGCAGCAGUGAGGAAUAUUGGUCAAUGGGCGCGAGCCUGAACCAGCCAAGUAGCGUGAAGGAUGACUGCCCUACGGGUUGUAAACUUCUUUUAUAAAGGAAUAAAGUGAGGCACGUGUGCCUUUUUGUAUGUACUUUAUGAAUAAGGAUCGGCUAACUCCGUGCCAGAAGCCGCGGUAAUACGGAGGUUCCGAGCGUUAUCCGGAUUUAUAGGGUUUACAGGGAGCGUAGAUGGGUGUUUAAGUCAGGUGUGAAAGUUUGCGGCUCAACCGUAAAAUUGCAAUUGAUACUGGCAGCCUUGAGUACAGUUGAGGUAGGCGGAAUUCGUGGUGUAGCGGUGAAAUGCUUAGAUAUCACGAAGAACUCCGAUUGCGAAGGCAGCUUACUAAACUGCCACUGACAUUGAUGCUCGAAAGUGUGGGUAUCAAACAGGAUUAGAUACCCCGGUAGUC
rnacentral:rRNA from 1 species